rnacentral:rRNA from 1 species
CAACGAAUCUUCCGCAAUGGGCGAAAGCCUGACGGAGCAAUGCCGCGUGCGGGAUGAAGUAUCUAUGGUAUGUAAACCGCUGUCAGAAAGCAGAAACACUGAUUGCUUUCAAAGGAAGUGGCGACUAACUCUGUGCCAGCAGUCGCGGUAAUACAGAGGCCACAAGCGUUAGUCGGAAUCACUGGGCUUAAAGGGUGCGUAGGCGGAUUUCCAAGCGUCCUGUGAAAGCCUCCGGCUCAACCGGAGAACA